GAUGGACGCUGGCGGCGUGCCUAAUACAUGCAAGUCGAGCGAACGGACGAGAAGCUUGCUUCUCUGAUGUUAGCGGCGGACGGGUGAGUAACACGUGGAUAACCUACCUAUAAGACUGGGAUAACUUCGGGAAACCGGAGCCAAUACCGGAUGAUAUUUUGAACCGCAUGGUUCAAAAGUGAAAGACGGUCUUGCUGUCACUUAUAGAUGGAUCCGCGCUGCAUUAGCUAGUUGGUAAGGUAACGGCUUACCAAGGCAACGAUGCAUAGCCGACCUGAGAGGGUGAUCGGCCACACUGGAACUGAGACACGGUCCAGACUCCUACGGGAGGCAGCAGUAGGGAAUCUUCCGCAAUGGGCGAAAGCCUGACGGAGCAACGCCGCGUGAGUGAUGAAGGUCUUCGGAUCGUAAAACUCUGUUAUUAGGGAAGAACAUAUGUGUAAGUAACUGUGCACAUCUUGACGGUACCUAAUCAGAAAGCCACGGCUAACUACGUG
rnacentral:rRNA from 1 species